rnacentral:misc_RNA from 1 species
UUUCCGUAGGUGAACCUGCGGAAAGAUCAUUAAUGAGUUGUCAUGGGGUUCGAUGCUGGCAGCCAGUUUUUGGAUGCAUGUGCUUGCCCUAACAAUCAUCUUCUUCCAAACACCUGUGCACAUUUUUGAGGGAGUCUUGAGUUGGUUGCCGCUCUUGGGUGAUUUUCUCACAUUCCCUUAAAUCAUUAUACGCUAUUAACAAUGUUGAACGUGCUCUGUGCCGCAAGGCCAUUAAUAUAAUACAACUUUUAACAACGGAUCUCUUGGCUCUC